GGUGUGCAUUUGCUGGCGUGGGGUCUGAGUCCUUCCUCGCCGGUGCUCAGUGACUCUUAGGAACCCCCUGGCCAGGGUCACUGAUCUGUCUGCUCAAGGAAAGCUGGGAAGGCCACAGGAAAGGUCUAGGAGGGCCUCGCCAGGAGGCUUCACAGGUGCAGUCUGCAGGCCAGCAGCAUCGUCUGGAAACUUAGGGAAGAAACCAGAUCUACUGAAUCAGAAACUCGGGAAGUGGCCCAGGCAAUCUUUUACCAGCACCUCCAGGUGAUUAUAAUGCAAGUCAGAAUACACAAAGGGAUUGAACUUUAUUUUGGCCACUUCCGCUUCAGUGAUGUCCUCAAAAGGAAAGAGCUUCAUGUUCUU
rnacentral:lncRNA from 1 species